rnacentral:rRNA from 1 species
CCUACGGGGGACUGCAGUGAGGAAUAUUGGUCAAUGGGCGCGAGCCUGAACCAGCCAAGUCGCGUGAGGGAUGAAGGUUCUAUGGAUCGUAAACCUCUUUUAUAAGGGAAUAAAGUGUGGGACGUGUCCUAUUUUGUAUGUACCUUAUGAAUAAGGAUCGGCUAACUCCGUGACAGCAGCCGCGGUAAUACGGAGGAUCCGAUCGUUAUCCGGAUUUAUUGGGUUUAAAGGGUGCGUAGGCGGCCUUUUAAGUCAGCGGUGAAAGUCUGUGGCUCAACCAUAGAAUUGCCGUUGAAAAUGGUGGGCUUGAGUAUGUUUGAGGCAGGCGGAAUGCGUGGUGUAGCGGUGAAAUGCUUAGAUAUCACGCAGAACCCCGAUUGCGAAGGCAGCCUGCCAAGCCAUGACUGACGCUGAUGCACGAAAGCGUGGGGAUCAAACAGGAUUAGAUACCCUGGUAGUC